AUGAUAGCCCCAGGUUUUAGAGAUGCUGGGCACCAACAGGAUCCUCCUCCCCAACGCCCAGGCCCUUAUCAGGAAUGCAAUUUGGGUUGGUGGGGAGGGGGAGGACCGAGGCCUCGGGCUCUGACAAGGUGGGGAGGAGAGAUAGGGAAGUGGAGAGGGGGCCCGAGGGGUCCUGCUGCUGGGAGGGCCCAAGGCUGGAAGGGAUGCCCAGAGCCUGCACAGUGGGGGCUGUGGCCAAGUGCUGUCCUUGCUGGCCUGGCCCCUCGACACGGUUCCAGGGCUGCUCCUGCCUUCCAUCCUCGCCAGGCAAGACGCCCGCACCUUUAAUUAGCGAGCAGCAGCCUCUCCCCGAUUCAUCACAGUCACUGUUUAAUUAGCCUCACACAAGGCGCCCCUACCCCCCAGCUCUGGGCUGAGCAGCCUGCCUCUCUCACAGAGGCUGCCACCACCUCACGGUGUCCCCUGUCACCACCCCCCCAUACUGACUCUGCUCCCCAGAAUGGGGGAUGGGGCGGGCACACCUGGCUGAAACCUCAAGGAGAUUCUGGGCACUGGUGCUUGUAUUGAAGGCAUCCAGCAAACAUUAUUAGGGCCUCGAGUCUGCGCCAGGCUGGCGCUGGGUAGAACCCAGGUUGGAUGAGGGUGGCUGUCUCAGUCGUGUGCGACUGCUGGGGAUGGCU